rnacentral:rRNA from 1 species
GACGAACGCUGGCGGCGUGCUUAACACAUGCAAGUCGAACGGAAAGGCCCUGCUUUUGUGGGGUGCUCGAGUGGCGAACGGGUGAGUAACACGUGAGUAACCUGCCCUUGACUUUGGGAUAACUUCAGGAAACUGGGGCUAAUACCGGAUAGGAGCUCCUGCUGCAUGGUGGGGGUUGGAAAGUUUCGGCGGUUGGGGAUGGACUCGCGGCUUAUCAGCUUGUUGGUGGGGUAGUGGCUUACCAAGGCUUUGACGGGUAGCCGGCCUGAGCGGGUGACCGGCCACAUUGGGACUGAGAUACGGCCCAGACUCCUACGGGAGGCAGCAGUGGGGAAUAUUGCACAAUGGGCGGAAGCCUGAUGCAGCAACGCCGCGUGCGGGAUGACGGCCUUCGGGUUGUAAACCGCUUUCGCCUGUGACGAAGCGUGAGUGACGGUAAUGGGUAAAGAAGCACCGGCUAACUACGUG